rnacentral:rRNA from 1 species
GACGAACGCUGGCGGCGUGCUUAACACAUGCAAGUCGAACGGAAAGGCCCUGCUCUUGUGGGGUGCUCGAGUGGCGAACGGGUGAGUAACACGUGAGUAACCUGCCCUUGAUUUUGGGAUAACUUCAGGAAACUGGGGCUAAUACCGGAUAGGAGCUCCUGCUGCAUGGUGGGGGUUGGAAAGUUUCGGCGGUUGGGGAUGGACUCGCGGCUUAGCAGCUUGUUGGUGGGGUAGUGGCUUACCAAGGCUUUGACGGGUAGCCGGCCUGAGAGGGUGACCGGCCACAUUGGGACUGGGAUACGGCCCAGACUCCAACGGGAGGCAGCAGUGGGGAAUAUUGCACAAUGGGCGGAAGCCUGAGGCAGCAACGCCGCGUGCGGGAUGACGGCCUUCGGGUUGUAAACCGCUUUCGCCUGUGACGAAGCGUGAGUGACGGUAAUGGGUAAAGAAGCACCGGCUAACUACGUG